rnacentral:lncRNA from 1 species
AGACACUCUGCUUCUGGCUCUGAGCUUUGCCUGUCUUCAGGGAUGGAGCCCCUCCCAAGGCAAGUUCAACCGGGUUCUUUGGCAGCGGAAGUCUACACGGACCCUGCAGGGAGUGGAGGAGAAAAUAUCUCAUCAAAUAAGGAAGACUUUAUGAGCAGAAAAUUAUCAAAAUGCUGAACAUACUGCACUGAAGAAGCAAAACCCAAAGGUGUUCAAAAAGGAUUUAUGUGUGGGGAAAAAAUGAUUCAGAGGUGAUGGCCUUUCUUGGACAUUAACAAACUGUAGAGGAGUUUGCGUCCCUGACAAUGGAUGGUAUGUAAAUCCUAACAGUGGUGGGGGUGGGAGGGAGAGGGUGGAUGUGGCAGAAAAAGAGAAGCUGAGCUCAGGCAGUUCCAUACUUACAAAGGGAGAAGUUGUUUGGAUUUUUUUUUUUUUUUGGAAAGAAAAUCUAUUGUUGAAAGUCACUUCAGCUUUUUCUACAGAGUGAGAAUAAUUGGGCUUUAAACUAUUAAUAGAAUAUGAAUAUUGAU